AAAAACUAAGGAAAAACGCUCAUAUUUAUAUUUUUUUAUCAUCAUAAGUCAUUCCCUAAACAAAUCUAAACAAAAAACAUAAACUUGUAAACUAUACACAAGUUUCAAAUUCAAUGAACCAUGAUGAGAGGGUGAGGCUACUUUAUCUCUAAGGAUAGUGAUUUAACAUCAGUGGUUUAUCUUGACUGUACAUAAAUUAGGCCGUUAGUUUUCUCUUUUGAUUUGUUUUACAUUUGUCAUUUCAGGGCCUAUUAUAGCUGACUAUAUGUUAUUUGCUUUGCUCAUUGUUGAACGCUGUGUGGUGACCUAUAGUUGUUGAUUUCUGUGUUAUUGGGUCUCUUGUGGAGAAUUGUCCCAUUGGUAAUCAUACCACAUCUUCUUUUUUAUAUGAUCUUAUCACAAACUAAGGAAACACGGAAACUAAGAAAAAGUUUCAAAGUCAUUAAACCAUGACUAAGGGGUGAGCAACAAUUAUUCUCCGUGGAAAUACAAUGUUCUAAUGAUUUAAUAAAUACAUACAUAAAUGGCAAAUUAACAUGACCUACCACUGGAGGUUCCCUUUUAACUGGAAUUCAUCACAACCUAAUGUAUGUAAACUAUAUGAAAAAGUUUUAAAGUCAAUACACUAUGAAAGAGGGGCAGGUCCAAUAAUCUCCAUGGAAAUGAGAAAGGCAAUGCUUGUAC
rnacentral:lncRNA from 1 species